rnacentral:tRNA from 1 species
GCUGAUGUGGCUCAGAGGUAGAGCACUUCCUUGGUAAGGAAGGGGUCGGCGGUUCAAUUCCGCCCAUCAGCUCCA